GAUGAACGCUGGCGGCGUGCCUAAUACAUGCAAGUCGAGCGAACGGACGAGAAGCUUGCUUCUCUGAUGUUAGCGGCGGACGGGUGAGUAACACGUGGAUAACCUACCUAUAAGACUGGGAUAACUUCGGGAAACCGGAGCUAAUACCGGAUAAUAUUUUGAACCGCAUGGUUCAAAAGUGAAAGACGGUCUUGCUGUCACUUAUAGAUGGAUCCGCGCUGCAUUAGCUAGUUGGUAAGGUAACGGCUUACCAAGGCAACGAUGCAUAGCCGACCUGAGAGGGUGCUCGGCCACACUGGAACUGCGACACGGUCCAGACUCCUACGGGAGGCAGCAGUAGGGAAUCUUCCGCAAUGGGCGAAAGCCUGACGGAGCAACGCCGCGUGAGUGAUGAAGGUCUUCGGAUCGUAAACCUCUGUUAUUAGGGAAGAACAUAUGUGUAAGUAACUGUGCACAUCUUGACGGUACCUAAUCAGAAAGCCACGGCUAACUACGUG
rnacentral:rRNA from 1 species